rnacentral:rRNA from 1 species
UACGGGGGGAGCAAGCGUUGUUCGGAUUUACUGGGCGUAAAGGGCUCGUAGGCGGCCAACUAAGUCGGAUGUGAAAUCCCCAGGCUUAACCUGGGAACUGCAUCCGAUACUGGAUGGCUUGAAUCCGGGAGAGGGAUGCAGAAUUCCAGGUGUAGCGGUGAAAUGCGUAGAUAUCUGGAGGAAUACCGGUGGCGAAGGCGGCAUCCUGGACCGGCAUUGACGCUGAGUGAGCGAAAGCCAGGGGAGCAAACGGG